UUUUAUAAAGUAUAUACACUAUUUUAUUAAAUAAUCAUCUAUUUCUGAAAAGAAAAAGAAAAUUUUUGAUAUUUUCAUGAACCAUUUUCCUGUGUUUCCUUCAUUUUCAAAUUUAAAUAUUUUGAUAAUAGAGGAGUGUGAUAGAGAAAUGACUAGAAAAAUACAACAUCAAACAUUACUAAUAGUACAAAUAUUUUUUUUUAUUCAGUAGCUUAUAUAUCUCAGAUUCCCCCCCCCCCCCAAAUUUUGUCAACUACAAAUUUUAUCACAUCUAAAUACAAAAAGUUUUACCAGCAAAUUUCUUUAUUUCAUCUGUUUUUUGUUGUUGUGUUUUGUUAAAAAAUGAAAAAAAUCAGUUAUUUUAAUAAUAUAAGAAAGAUUUAUUUAUAAAUAAGUAACUAAAGCUAUAUAAAGUGUAAUAUGCAAGAACAGUACAACCAUUUUGAAAAAGAGGGGGAAAGGGGAUGCACAUGGAACCCUUAACCACCCUACUCCUGUCAGUGAUAUGUAAACCUGGACCUUUCACUGAUAACCUACAACCCCAAAUUAUACUCAGCCUGUAUAGAUGCAUCAAUUAUGUUCAAUCCUAAUCACUAAAUGUACAAAAGUACAUGGAACAAUUUAUCACCACCCACAAUUUGAAAAUAACACAAAAAGGGGAAGCCAUCGAAAUAAAAAUAAGUUCUCAAUUAUUCUAUUUUUGCUAACUUUGCAGUUUUGCAUGAAUUUUGAAACGUUUGAUGCCCUUAAUGCAAAUAUAUAAGACAAAAUAUAAGAAUAUAAAUACUGAAACCUGACAGACUAAGGUAUGUGACACCUCUGAUGGUUGUUGUUGGAUAGAUUUGUAAAACUUGCCAAAGAAGUGGCCUUGUGAUAUACCUACCUCUCCUGUCAAAUUUGUAAAAAUCAUAUUAAGUAUUUUUUUUUGUUGCAAUUAUUUAAACUUUUACAAGUGAAAACUAAAACAUUUUUAUUUAACAUUCAUUUAUUGUGUAUAAAAUUUUAAAAUAAAAUCAAUUUGCUUGUUGAUUUUUAUCAAAGUUACUGUACUAUCAUUGCUCUGUGAUAGUUAAUGUCUAUUUUAGAAGAAUAUAAAGUAGUAAACGUUUUUGAUGAUGCAUGCAAAAUAUUAAUACAUAAAAUAAUUGUACGUGCCUUUUUAUAGUAUUUACAUAUUAUUAAUGUGCAAUAAAGCUGUUGUAUAUUUUUUUUAAAUGCCAUACUGAAGUUUUCAGAAACACCAUUCACAAAUUGUUGUAUUCUUAUGUUCAAAUUCACAUGUAAAGACAAUCACUGUAUAUGAAACACUAUUGUUUGUAAUAAUAUGUCAGUUGCAAUAUUGCUUUUCUUACCACUAGAUUGAACAAAGUCUGGAUUAUUUUCCUUUAGGGAGCGUGUGCAGUGUAGUUUGUUAUCUUCCUGAUAAAUGUUUAAAUCGGGAAUCUUAGGAAAUAAUUAAGGAAACAAUAAUAUCAGUUAUAUGUUUCAGCAUUUUGAUAUUCAUAAUUAACAAACCAAACUGUUAACAUGGUUAAAGGUAUGACUUUAAACCAACAAAAGGAUUUUUUUUUGCAAAUAAUGAAAAAUUAGAUUAUAAAAAAUAAAACCUUCAAUAUUACAGAAUUAAAAACACUAUCAGUGUACAAGAUGAACAUUUAUUAUGGAUAAUGCUUUUUUUUUUGGAAAGCAAGAUAAAAAAAAUUACAAAUAUUAACACCAACACAACAACCUUGAUAUAAAAGGUUUUCAAUUUUUGAUUUGAUUGUCAUAAGAUUUACAGGUUUCUCCUGACACAUUCCUAAUUUGUUAUGGUCAAGUGUUUCAAUGCUAAUUUGUGUGUCCCCCUAUGCUAGAAGCCUGAAGGGGGCAUUAUGUUUUCAUGUUGGUGCUUUGGUGCUUCCCUCUUCAGUUUAAAGUUAAUGACUAAGGUAGUUUACAAGGAAGUUGUAUUCACAUCAACUUUGGUCACACAAUUAUUUUUAAGAGAAAUAGUUUAACUAUACAUCAAAUUAAGGUUUUGACCCAAAUUUCAAAGUUCACUGAAACUGUAAAUGUGAUUGUAUAAAAACAGUUUAAUCUCAGGUUAAAGGUUUUGGUUAAGAUAGUUUACCAUGAAUUUGUAGUCACAUCAACUUCAAAUUUUGUAUGCAUGUUAAUUAUCAUGUGAUUUUGUUUUUAUAUGAAUGCCAAAUUACAGUUAUGACCCUGUUUCCUUACGGUUUACUGAACAAGAAAAUGACAUUUGAAGCUGGGCAUUGUGACCAUGACCUAUGCACACAUAUUAUUGUUUGAAAUAGCUGACUUAGUCAAGAUAGAGUGAGCUACUGUAUGACCAUGCACCAAGGUAAAAUACAUUAAUUUGAUAUUUGCAUAAUAUUUUAUCAGGCAUAGUUUCUGUUGCUGUGUUUUAUUAUUUUGAAGCUUUGUUUUGCUACAUUUUAUUGUAUUGUUAUGAUAUAUCAGUAGAAUCUCAUUUUGUUGUUUACAAGUGCUUAUUUGUUUUAGUGAAUAAUAAAACAUGAAAAAGUC
rnacentral:lncRNA from 1 species